GCGGCUGUGGAUCAGUUGGUAGAGCGGGUCGUCCACUAAUCGUAGGGUCGGCGGUUCGAUUCCCGUCACACGUG